CAAUUAGCUUUGUUGUAAGUGAUUCAAUUUCUGUGUUUGUAUUGGGGCUUUUCUAGUCCUCUACGACCUGUUUGAUAAAAUGCUCCAUUGGGACUUGUUUGUUCGCUGGGUGGAUUCGACUAUAUUAAGAAAGAAAAAGAUACUAAAUUCUUGUCCAUUGUAGCAUCACGAUGUUUCUUUUCAUUAUCUUUUCUUUCUGAGUUGUUAGUAUUUAUUUUUCUUGUUAAAACUCUGAACAAUGGGUAUUAUUGAACUCUAGUAACUGCAUCUAGUGUAUGUGAUUUGUGCAGACAAUGCCUCCUGGAAGCACACAUGGGACUGAGCAGGAACAAGUAGAGAAGACAUGAGUUCCAAAACUUGAGCACCAUGAAACUGGCGUUAUAUUUUUUCUUUUUGAAUUACUUGUAAUGCUUGAACCCUAUUUUCCAAGCUAAAGGAAAGGGCAUUCCCUUAUUUCGCAUGACUGUACAAUUCAAUUAACUAUUAGAGCAUGACAACAAUUUUUGUUUGCAG
rnacentral:lncRNA from 1 species